AGCGGCGGGGGCCGCGGACGGGAGAGGGCUCGCCCCGCAAGGUCUCUCUUGCCCUCUGCGGGACUCAGGCUUCCCGCGAAGCGGGUGUGUCCGCUUGCAGCCCUCGCUCAGGCUCCGGGUUUAGCUGCGGAGUCUCAGAGAAUGAGAGACGUGACACAAGAGGUCCCCAGGGAGCAAGGCCCGCGCCUCCUGAAAACACACAGGCUACCAGGGGGCAAGAUGACUUUAGCCACUGUUUCCAGAUACUUCCUUCAGAUAGAGGAGCAGAUUGACAGAUGAAGCAUAAAACAAGACCAGAUGCUGUGGUUUCCAGGAUGCACUUGGCUCCCCAUCCUUUAUAACCUGGAGCAUUUUUUUGCUUUUCAGAUGUACAACACAGUGAUUCAACAACUCUCUACCUUACUCAGCGCUCUCCGUGGUCCGUUCCUAACGUGUCCAUCGGAGACCAGUCCCAUCAGGAGCCGAAUUCCUUCCCCCCUAGAACUUCGAUCUGCCGUUCCCAUUCUUGCCGGCGGGGCUGCAUAGGCUAUGUCUGUCACCCGAUUGAAUGCGCCACCGAGAAUGGAACAAAUAUGCCUUCAGAGUGGUAUGACUGGUGAGGACACUACAGACGUAUCAGCACAACUCAGAGUCAGACUAGCUCCCUUGUCCUGGCAGCCAUCAGUCAGAUACCUACUGAAUUUGCUGUUAACGAAGCCCGUUCAUCAUCCUCACAAGAGCCGAGCCAAAGUUUGUCACGGUUUUGAGGGAGAGACUCAAGCGCAGAAACUUACAAUGAAAUCUUUAUUAUAUUAAUUAAUAAGUUGGUAAAAUUUCACUUGAGUCAUGCUAGUAUAUUUGGAUAUUUCAUCAAUUCUGCUGUUCUGUGGCAUACGUAUAAGGUAAUGUAACUGACAAACGGGCAUUUUCUUUAACCGACACUCAAUAUAGUAUUUAAUAUGUGCCAGGCACUAUUCUAAGUGCCUUGCAUAUAUUAACUCACUCAAUUCUCACUCAUAUUUACCCUAUGUGGUAAGUACCAUUAUUAUCUACAGACAAGGAAACCAAGGCACCGAGAGGUAAAGUAACAGAGUAACACUAACUUUCCGAGGUCAAAUAGCUAGUAGAUGGCAGAAUUAGGAUUUGAACCAGUCUGUCUGGUUCCAGAGCCUGUGUUCAUACUGAUGCCCUUCCCCAAAUUUGUUGAAAUUAAAAAAAAAAAAAAAUCUGUUACUUAGAUUGUUAGAACUUCUUAAAAGCAAAAAACAAAGUAUAGUGAAUUAGUGCUGCUGGACUCACAACCUCCAAGCUUUAUAAAAACAUUAUUAGAGAAUAUCUUUUGAAUUACUAUGAACAUUUAUGAGAGUCCAAAAUGUUGAUUGGAAGCAAUAUCUAACUCCAUUCUAAGCAAGACUAGGCUGGCUUGCUUAUAUAUAUAUAUAUAUAUAUAUAUAUAUAUAUAUAUAUAUAUAUACACACACACACAU